GGUUCCCUAGUGUAGUGAUUAGCACAUCUGCUUUACACGCAGAAGGUCCUGGGUUCGCGCCCCAGUGGAGCCA
rnacentral:tRNA from 1 species